GAAGUGCGACAAGUGUCAUGACUUGCAGAUUCCCGAGAGCUGACAAAUUUCUGAAUACAAACGGUGGCCGUUCAUAGCGGCCAUGUAUUGCAGAGUGUAGUUGUUCAUACUCAUCAUCCCAGAAGUGUUCCGCUUCUGAAUGGGAUCUGCACUUACGAUCUAUCGUGAGUGUGAAACUCGAGUGCCCAGUGUGGAGGGGGCUCCCAUUCACUUGGGGGUCUUCUUCUCUCUGGGCUACUUCGGUAUCAUUCGAAGUUGAAACUCCUAUCUUACACAGCCACCUCUGCGAUGCAGGAGAACCCGCUGAACUUAA
rnacentral:misc_RNA from 1 species